UACGUAGGGUGCGAGCGUUAAUCGGAAUUACUGGGCGUAAAGCGUGCGCAGGCGGUUCUCCAAGUCCGUUGGGAAAGCCCCGAGCUCAACCUGGGAAUGGCAGUGGAAACUAGGGGACUGGAAUCUGGCAGAGGGGGGUGGAAUGCCGCGUGUAGCAGUGAAAUGCGUAGAGAUGCGGCGGAACACCGAUGGCGAAGGCAGCCCCCUGGGCUGAGAUUGACGCUCAGGCACGAAAGCGUGGGGAGCAAACAGG
rnacentral:rRNA from 1 species